rnacentral:lncRNA from 1 species
AGAACCACUUCAGUGUAACACUUUAUAGAACAAAGGAUUCUUUUAAUUCACACUGACUUGAUGUUUUAAAAUUUUCUACAUAAAUCAUUAGGGAAUAACUUAUUGCAUAUCUUUUUCUAAGGUUUCUAUUCAAAAUGAUCUUAUUUAUAGGUCAAUAUAUGUAACAUAUGUAGUUUGAAGUAAUUGAUUAAUAUUUCAACAUCCAAAUGAAUUCAACACACAUUGCCUAGUAAUGAGACACUGACAAGAUUUACAGGAGAAGAUGAGGGACAACUUCAUCUUUUGCAGGUAUACAUGUAAUUUUCGAAAGUCACGGAUAUUUCUGAUAAUAUAGUUUUAUAACCAAUCUUUUCCAUGCUUUUUCCUUAGAAAGAUAAAGAAAAAAAAAGCAACUGGGAAAAUGAAAAUAAAUCAAUGAAAUGAAAAUUCUCCUGUAAAUUCCUUUUUCAAUAAACUCUGGAGCAGAUAUAAUGCAUAGCGGACACAGUGAGAUGCCACUCAAGUCAAACUAAAGAACUAAUUUCUCUAGUUGUGGGCUACUCACAUUCAACUCUCCUAGAAUUGCCCUCUGCUAAAGGGUGUUAUCUUAAUCAAAUUUACAACCCACUCAUGGCAGUUUAACUUCUCCAUCUGCCAAAUCCUACUACUCUGACCUCCUUAAAGAUAUUAUUCCCCAAAGCAUUUCCUAGUAAACUCUUGCAUGCAAAUCUAGAUGUAAGUCUGUUUCCUAGGGAACCUAACCUAAGACAGUUGGAACAAAAGUGUGCCUAUGAUGCAGGUUCUAAAAAUGGGAUGCAGGAACUUUACUACCUAUUGUCUGCCUAGCAAUGGAGAAGGACUUCAUAAUUGGUAGAAGGUGGACCACAAAUAAUCUAUAGCAAGCUCUAAUGGUGCAAAUGCUAAACUGUAGUUUAGCUGGUGGUAAAAUGGGGCAGCAUACUGAGGAAACAGAAUGCUCUGAUUCCCUGAAGAUUCUGUGCCUGCUAACAUAACAGAGACUCAGUCAUUGCACUACCUCAUUGCUGGAAGAUAAUGAAAACACCUUCAUACUGCCAAACAAAACAUGCUUCUCAACAGCUAUCCCAACUUCUUUCCUGGUCACUAAACCAAUACUCAGAGUAAAUUGAGAAUGCAAUCUGGUCACACAUAGCCUGGAUCUGUCACAGGAGGAAAGGAAGUACUCCUCAAAGGAGCCAAAACGUCUAAUGGUCCCAACCAGAAGAUCCGGAAGAGAAAAUGGGCCUGCGUCCUCAGAGUGGUAUGAAAAAAAGAGCAGAAAAUAAUAUUUGCAAAGAGAGAGUUCAUUGAUAUGUGAAACAGGAUAUAACACCCUAAAAAGGACCCCAGAAAUAGUGCUAAGAUGUUGCUGAAAUGGUU